rnacentral:rRNA from 1 species
CCCUUAGAUGUUCUGGGCCGCACGCGCGCUACACUGAUUCAUGCAACAAGUUUUGUCCUUGGCUGAUAGGCCUGGGUAAUCUUUGAACGUGAAUCGUGAUGGGGAUAGAUGAUUGCAAUUAUUCAUCUUCAACGAGGAAUUCCUAGUAAACGCAAGUCAUCAGCUUGCAUUGAUUACGUCCCUACCCUUUGUACACACCGCCCGUCGCACCUACCGAUUGAAUGGUCCGGUGAAAUCUUCGGAUCUGAGAGAUGUCUGAUUAAUUUCGGACGCCUUUUGGAAAAGUUGCUUAAACCUUACCAUUUAGAGGAAGGUGAAGUCGUAACA